UUUAUAGAUUGUAUCAUUACUCUGCUGUGAGACCAUAUAUGUACAUAACAAGAAAACAGAGGCUAAAAAAGAAAUAAGUAUAUUUGGGGUUUGGUUGGCGUCUGAUGUGCUUCAGUCUACACACGGAAAUGAGGCUUACCUGGGUGGGUUGAGAUCAGAACAUACAUUCAGCGUAAGCUCUUCUGAUUAUCUGAAUUCUGCUUACAGACGUAUAUAAAUAGCAUCGUCUAUGAGGUUACUGCUUGUUAGCAGACACUGUGGAUUAGGGCCUCCAGGGUUAAUGUUGGUGAUGAUGGUAGAGACUUUUACGAAAUAGGGCUCCGGGGAAGGAGUUUUAGUGAUCUUGGCCUUCCUGCUUCUAUUUCUUUGCAGUUGUCUGAAAGUGAGCAGCUGGCUACACCAUGAAUUCCCGUCCACAAUGCUCUGCCUCACCAUAGACUCGUAACCAGGCCCUUUCUGCCAUCUGGAUCAUCUACUUUCUGCUUCUUGACCAAGACACACACAUGAGCAAACAGGCUAUUCUUCCAAGCCUGGGGAAUGUUAUCCUCUGCAUCAUAUCUGUGUUCACAGUGGAGGUUAACUCUUGUCUGACCACGUAUAUGCUACAAAGCGCAGAAGAGAAAGGACGGUGUGGAGGAAGCUGAACUUGAAAGAAGGCAGAGGAAAUGGAAGGCCUACAAGAGAGGUCUGUGUCAGCGAUUCCCUCCGCUUCUGCUCGCUCAUUAUGACACGGCAGGAGGGGUUCUCACUGAGAUCACCCUGAAGAAUCCAGGUGAAGACAGGAGAAACUUUGUGUUCUCAUCUUUGCAAUGCAGUGUCUUUCAUGAAGUAGACAAUGAAUGUUUUGUGUUCUAGGCAGAAGCGGGGAAAUAUGCUUUAGAGAUUCUGAACAGAACCUGCUUCCAUUGUAACAAAGGGAAAUUUCCUCGAGGAGCAAAAGGAAACCUCUCUUAUUUGACUGCUCACGGAAGGAGCCUGGAGAAGAACCUAGGUCCUCGUAGUCUGCUCUGUACAGCUGAGGACGGUACCCAGGAAGGGAAACCGUUUCCAACUUGUCCUGAGUCCAGACCUGCUUUCUAAGCAAGCCCUGCCUGGCAAGGAAGUGCACACUGGAAUCAUUUGUUUACUUUGUAAACAGGUCAACCUAUUUGUCUAAAGAGACCCCAGUGGAAUAUUAAACUACUGUUAAGACCUUAGUGGGAGUUCCUGGGAACAAAAACAAUUUGUCUAUUUUUUUCCAAUGGGCAACCCUUUCGUCAUCUUCUGGAAGUGCAAAGAAAGGAUCAUUUGAGUCUACUUUCUGUCAAGGACAGAUACAAGUGUUCCUGCAACACAGAGCAUCAAGAUGUUGAUAGAGCCUUUUGGGGCACUCUCUUCACUGGUAUUCCUAGAUACCUGCAAAGGUGGAUUAACUUUUGCCCUUAUGGACGUGCAGAAGCCUUGGUUUUCUGCAACUAUGAAUCACCGGACAGAGAACACAGAUUUGCAUCUAUGUUGUUGUUGGUUUUUUUUUUUUUUGUAUGCUGAUUAACUCCCUCUGAAAUACCUUUGAAAGCAGAGCUCAAAGGCCAAAGAAGCUAAUUUUUAAAAUGACCAAAUGGAUCGUGCCCUUAGAGGUGUAUCUAUGGGACCGUGUUAGCAGUGGCAAGGGGAAGCUGCCACAGCUCACCCACUGGGGAAGUGGGGUAGCCACAGUAUUCAAAAACAAUUCUGAGAUCUUGAAAAGACAUUUUCAAAAGUGACACAGUC
rnacentral:lncRNA from 1 species